rnacentral:tRNA from 1 species
GCGAGCGUGGCGAAACCGGUAGACGCAGCGGACUUAAAAUCCGUUUGCCGCAAGGCAGUGCGGGUUCAAGUCCCGCCGCUCGCA